CCAGGACUGUGUUGAAAGUGGAAGCUUACCGCUUGGUCCAGGAGUCCAUUUUCAUCCGAAUCAUAGAGACGAAACAUGACUGCAAGAAACACGCAGGAAAGAUGGCAGUGAGUCCUGGCAAUAACACAGUGAACGAAAAAAUCAUUUACCACACUGCUCUAAAUGCUUAACUUGCAGACCCAAUUCUGGAUGGGCUUCCACCAUAUCCAAACCCUUUCUUAGUGGGGAACUUUGGAAGACUUGCGUGAGCACAGUGUCCUCAGUGGAUGUAUGUUGUUGGCAUGAGCCAGCCAUGUCAAAAGACCAAUGUCUCGCACCCAUGGAAGUGGCAAAGCCUUCCCCAGCUUUGUUACUUUCAUGUCUACCAGAAAUCUCUUCUACCCAGUAAGAUGUACGACACACAGGAAGCAACUGACCGUGGGAUAAAGACAGUACUGCCCAUGGGGCAAACCAACGUAGGUCCCAUGAGGUCAACAGGCAGUAAGUGCUGAUGACACAGACAAAGGUGGAGGAAGCCUCCCUCUGCAGCACUGCCUGCCGGGGAAGUCAGUAUUACCACACACUCUUCAGAGAACCAAAGAGCCACAUGCUGGAAGGGAGCCCUGGUCUCAAGACAACAGAGCUGAGAAAGAAGAAGGCCUACCGGUCCUGUAGGCUGUAAGAAAGGAGUCAGCUAUUAUUCAUAACAACAGUGGAGGAGAUGAGAGGUCUCUAACCUAAAGAGGGCCCAGGAAGAGACCAAGAUGGAGCCUACAAAAUACAGAAAGGAAGCUUCACCCGCAAGUCCCAGAGGACCAGGUGUUUGCAGGUCAUUUUCUCCCUUUCUCCCUUCCUUUUUCUUUCUUUCUUUCUUUCUUUCUUUCUUUCUUUCUUUCUUUCUUUCUUUCUUUCUUUCUUUCUUUCUUUCUUUCCUUCCUUCCUUCCUUCCUUCCUUCCUUCUUUCUUUCUUUCUUUCUUUCUUUCUUUCUUUCUUUCUUUCUCUCAGUAAAUUGUUUAUUCUUCUUUUGGGAAAUACCACUCAAGUCCUAGUUAUCAGUACAUUAUCAUACCUCUCUAAUACUGGCUGAUUUCUUUUUACAUAAUUUCAAUUUAUCUGAAUUUGUUAACAUUUAAAAACAUAUUUGAAGUAAAUAGAUUUUCAUCACAUUCUUCUUUCCCUUUUGUACCCCAACUCCUCCCAGAGACCCCCCUUCAAUACCUGCCACACCUUUUGUUUUUUAUCAUAUUCUUUAAAAUUUAUAAAAUAUUAUAGCAAUAAAAAUGAGUAUUUUAAAAGUUG